AUGCCGCGUGUGUGAUGAAGGUCUUAGGAUCGUAAAGCACUUUCGCCAGGGAUGAUAAUGACAGUACCUGGUAAAGAAACCCCGGCUAACUCCGUGCCAGCAGCCGCGGUAAUACGGAGGGGGUUAGCGUUGUUCGGAAUUACUGGGCGUAAAGCGCGCGUAGGCGGAUUGGAAAGUUGGGGGUGAAAUCCCGGGGCUCAACCCCGGAACUGCCUCCAAAACUAUCAGUCUAGAGUUCGAGAGAGGUGAGUGGAAUUCCAAGUGUAGAGGUGAAAUUCGUAGAUAUUUGGAGGAACACCAGUGGCGAAGGCGGCUCACUGGCUCGAUACUGACGCUGAGGUGCGAAAGUGUGGGGAGCAAACAGGAUUAGAUACCCUGGUAGUCCACACCGUAAACGAUGAAUGCCAGUCGUCGGGCAGUAUACUGUUCGGUGACACACCUAACGGAUUAAGCAUUCCGCCUGGGGAGUACGGUCGCAAGAUUAAAACUCAAG
rnacentral:rRNA from 1 species